UCUUGCUUAAGUUUUUUCUUUCCUUCUUUCUUUCCUUCUUUCUUUCCGGGUGGCUUCAAAGAUUAAACGAGUACGAAUCUGCAUGACUGCAUUAUCGGUUUGAAGGAAGAAAAGAAAAGGAAAGGG
rnacentral:ribozyme from 1 species